rnacentral:rRNA from 1 species
GAUGAACGCUGGCGCUUGAGCCGGAACACAUGCAAGUUGAGCGAACCCUUCGGGGUGAGCGGCGGACGGGUGAGUAACGCGUGGGUAACCUGUCCCUGUACACACGGAUAACAUACCGAAAGGUAUGCUAAUACGAGAUAAUAUGUUUUAAUCGCAUGGUUAAGAUAUCAAAGCUCCGGCGGUACAGGAUGGACCCGCGUCUGAUUAGCUAGUUGGUGAGGUAAUGGCUCACCAAGGCGACGAUCAGUAGCCGACCUGAGAGGGUGAUCGGCCACACUGGAACUGAGACACGGUCCAGACUCCUACGGGAGGCAGCAGUGGGGAAUAUUGCAUUAUGGGCGAAAGCCUGAUGCAGCAACGCCGCGUGAGCGAUGAAGGCCUUCGGGUCGUAAAGCUCUGUCCUCAAGGAAGAUAAUGACGGUACUUGAGGAGGAAGCCCCGGUUAACUAC